rnacentral:rRNA from 1 species
GACGAACGCUGGCGGCGUGCCUAAUACAUGCAAGUCGAACGCUUUUUCUUUCACCGGAGCUUGCUCCACCGAAAGAAAAAGAGUGGCGAACGGGUGAGUAACACGUGGGUAACCUGCCCAUCAGAAGGGGAUAACACUUGGAAACAGGUGCUAAUACCGUAUAACACUAUUUUCCGCAUGGAAGAAAGUUGAAAGGCUCUUUAGCGUCACUGACUGAUGGACCCGCGGUGCAUUAGCUAGUUGGUGAGGUAACGGCUCACCAAGGCAACGAUGCAUAGCCGACCUGAGAGGGUGAGCGGCCACACUGGGACUGAGACACGGCCCAGACUCCUACGGGAGGCAGCAGUAGGGAAUCUUCGGCAAUGGACGAAAGUCUGACCGAGCAACGCCGCGUGAGUGAAGAAGGUUUUCGGAUCGUAAAACUCUGUUGUUAGAGAAGAACAAGGAUGAGAGUAAAACGUUCAUCCCUUGACGGUAUCUAACCAGAAAGCCACGGCUAACUACGUGCCAGCAGCCGCCGUAA